rnacentral:rRNA from 1 species
AGUGAACGCUGGCGGUAGGCCUAACACAUGCAAGUCGAACGGCAGCACAGUAAGAGCUUGCUCUUACGGGUGGCGAGUGGCGGACGGGUGAGGAAUACAUCGGAAUCUACUUUUUCGUGGGGGAUAACGUAGGGAAACUUACGCUAAUACCGCAUACGACCUACGGGUGAAAGCAGGGGAUCUUCGGACCUUGCGCGAUUGAAUGAGCCGAUGUCGGAUUAGCUAGUUGGCGGGGUAAAGGCCCACCAAGGCGACGAUCCGUAGCUGGUCUGAGAGGAUGAUCGGCCCCACUUGAAACGAGAAACGGUCCCGACUCCUACGGGAGGCAGCAGUUGGGAAUAUUGGGCAAGUGGCGGAAGCCUGAACCAGCCAUGCCGCGUGGGUGAAGAAGGCCUUUGGGUUGUAAAACCCCUUUUUUUGGGAAGAAAAACCGCGGGUUUAAACCCCGCUGUUCUGACGGUACCCAAAGAAUAAGCACCGGCUAACUUCGUG